rnacentral:rRNA from 1 species
AUGAACGCUAGCUACAGGCUUAACACAUGCAAGUCGAGGGGCAGCAUGGUCUUAGCUUGCUAAGGCCGAUGGCGACCGGCGCACGGGUGAGUAACACGUAUCCAACCUGCCGUCUACUCUUGGACAGCCUUCUGAAAGGAAGAUUAAUACAAGAUGGCAUCAUGAGUCCGCAUGUUCACAUGAUUAAAGGUAUUCCGGUAGACGAUGGGGAUGCGUUCCAUUAGAUAGUAGGCGGGGUAACGGCCCACCUAGUCUUCGAUGGAUAGGGGUUCUGAGAGGAAGGUCCCCCACAUUGGAACUGAGACACGGUCCAAACUCCUACGGGAGGCAGCAGUGAGGAAUAUUGGUCAAUGGGCGAGAGCCUGAACCAGCCAAGUAGCGUGAAGGAUGACUGCCCUAUGGGUUGUAAACUUCUUUUAUAAAGGAAUAAAGUCGGGUAUGCAUACCCGUUUGCAUGUACUUUAUGAAUAAGGAUCGGCUAACUCCGUGCCAGCAGCCGCGGUAAUACGGAGGAUCCGAGCGUUAUCCGGAUUUAUUGGGUUUAAAGGGAGCGUAGAUGGAUGUUUAAGUCAGUUGUGAAAGUUUGCGGCUCAACCGUAAAAUUGCAGUUGAUACUGGAUAUCUUGAGUGCAGUUGAGGCAGGCGGAAUUCGUGGUGUAGCGGUGAAAUGCUUAGAUAUCACGAAGAACUCCGAUUGCGAAGGCAGCCUGCUAAGCUGCAACUGACAUUGAGGCUCGAAAGUGUGGGUAUCAAACAGGAUUAGAUACCCUGGUAGUCCACACGGUAAACGAUGAAUACUCGCUGUUUGCGAUAUACAGCAAGCGGCCAAGCGAAAGCGUUAAGUAUUCCACCUGGGGAGUACGCCGGCAACGGUGAAACUCAAAGGAAUUGACGGGGGCCCGCACAAGCGGAGGAACAUGUGGUUUAAUUCGAUGAUACGCGAGGAACCUUACCCGGGCUUAAAUUGCAGAUGAAUUACGGUGAAAGCCGUAAGCCGCAAGGCAUCUGUGAAGGUGCUGCAUGGUUGUCGUCAGCUCGUGCCGUGAGGUGUCGGCUUAAGUGCCAUAACGAGCGCAACCCUUGUUGUCAGUUACUAACAGGUCAUGCUGAGGACUCUGACAAGACUGCCAUCGUAAGAUGUGAGGAAGGUGGGGAUAACGUCAAAUCAGCACGGCCCUUACGUCCGGGGCUACACACGUGUUACAAUGGGGGGUACAGAGGGCCGCUACCACGCGAGUGGAUGCCAAUCCCAAAAACCUCUCUCAGUUCGGACUGGAGUCUGCAACCCGACUCCACGAAGCUGGAUUCGCUAGUAAUCGCGCAUCAGCCACGGCGCGGUGAAUACGUUCCCGGGCCUUGUACACACCGCCCGUCAAGCCAUGGGAGCCGGGGGUACCUGAAGUGCGUAACCGCGAGGAGCGCCCUAGGGUAAAACUGGUGACUGGGGCU